UACGGAGGGUGCGAGCGUUGUCCGGAUUUAUUGGGUUUAAAGGGUGCGUAGGUGGGUUAAUAAGUCAGUGGUGAAAUACGGUUGCUCAACAAUCGAGGUGCCAUUGAUACUGUUAAUCUUGAAACAAGUGGAGGUUGCCGGAAUGGAUGGUGUAGCGGUGAAAUGCAUAGAUAUCGAGAGGAACACCUGCGGCGAAGGCGGGUUGCUGGGCUGACACUGACGCUGAUUGUGCGAAAGCUAGGGGAGCGAACAGG
rnacentral:rRNA from 1 species